GGAAAACUCAAAGGACUCCCACCCUGGACGAGGUCAGGUUCAGGUCCCCCCAGAUGACGAAUCCUGCAGCACCCAGAGCGGCGCUCUCCCCGAUGGUGUGGAUCAAGUCUUUCUGCAGGAAACACACAGUGGGUCCUGGGAGUCUAAGCUCUUCUAAGAUAUGAGUAAAGGGGGUCUGAAGGAUAAAGCCUUUCACAAGCAGGAAAGAUUCAUCAGACUCAGGAGAAAUGAGGGACUUUGUUCUGCAUCAGUACUGAGAACAGACAGAUAAAAGAAAGGAUGGAACUCAUGUGCUUGAUACCAAACUCUGAGUGAUACACAGAUAUAAG